rnacentral:rRNA from 1 species
UACGGAGGAUGCGAGCGUUAUCCGGAUUUAUUGGGUUUAAAGGGUGCGUAGGUGGUCUGAUAAGUCAGCGGUGAAAGUUUGUCGCUCAACGAUAAAAUUGCCGUUGAAACUGUUGGACUUGAGUGUAAUUGAAGUAUGCGGAAUGCGUGGUGUAGCGGUGAAAUGCAUAGAUAUCACGCAGAACUCCGAUUGCGAAGGCAGCAUACUAAGCUACAACUGACACUGAAGCACGAAAGCGUGGGUAUCAAAC